AUCUUUCUUCUCAGCAACCUUAUUCACUCAUGAGGACCGACGUGACAGGUAACAUCAACGGCUGUACGGAUGGGUAAGAACACAAACAGAAGAAAGGAAACAAAUCACUAAAUUGAAUUGAAGACAGCGUGUGAAUUUCUUAUCCUAAAUCAAUUAUAAAUAAUACUUAACUACCCUAUAACUAUUAGUGCUACAAUCAAUCUAUUUACAAGCUUAGUACUAGAUUCUUUCCACCAAGUAGCAGAAACCAACCUAACCCUAAUCUACUUAUGCUGUAAAGUGCACAAUCACGACACGACAGACAGAUUUCGACAAGACAGACUACGACUGACAAACUACGAACGAUCAUAAAGGGGACUAAACGUAAGUUGACUAUGUCCAAACAUACGAUUCAUAAAAUUAUUUAUUUGCAUAAGAUUAACAAAAACUGAUGUGGAACA